rnacentral:piRNA from 1 species
UUGAAAAAAAUCUGUUUACCA